rnacentral:rRNA from 1 species
CCCUUAGAUGUUCUGGGCCGCACGCGUGCUACACUGAUGUAUUCAACGAGUCUAAAACCUGGUCUGAUAGGGCUGGGUAAUCUUUUGAAAGUGCAUCGUGAUUGGGAUAGAUGAUUGCAAUUCUUCAUCUUCAACGAGGAAUGCCUAGUAAACGCAAGUCAUCAGCUUGCAUUGAUUACGUCCCUGCCCUUUGUACACACCGCCCGUCGCUCCUACCGAUUGAAUGAUCCGAUGAAUAUCAUGGAUUGAGAGUACGAAUGGGUUCGCUCAUUUCUGCUGCUCGAGAAGUGAAGUAAAUCUUAUCAUUUAGAGGAAGGAGAAGUCGUAACA